AGCAGCGAACGGGUGAGUAACGCGUGGGGAAUCUGCCUUUGAGCGGGGGACAACAUUUGGAAACGAAUGCUAAUACCGCAUAAAAACUUUAAACACAAGUUUUAAGUUUGAAAGAUGCAAUUGCAUCACUCAAAGAUGAUCCCGCGUUGUAUUAGCUAGUUGGUGAGGUAAAGGCUCACCAAGGCGAUGAUACAUAGCCGACCUGAGAGGGUGAUCGGCCACAUUGGGACUGAGACACGGCCCAAACUCC
rnacentral:rRNA from 1 species